rnacentral:rRNA from 1 species
AGAACGAACGCUGGCGGCAUGCCUAAUACAUGCAAGUCGAACGAAGGCUUCGGCCCUAGUGGCGCACGGGUGCGUAACGCGUGGGAAUCUGCCCUUGGGUUCGGAAUAACAGUUGGAAACGACUGCUAAUACCGGAUGAUGACGUUAAGUCCAAAGAUUUAUCGCCCAGGGAUGAGCCCGCGUAGGAUUAGCUAGUUGGUGAGGUAAAGGCUCACCAAGGCGACGAUCCUAGCUGGUCUGAGAGGAUGAUCACGCCACACUGGGACUGAGACACGGCCCAGCUCGACGGGAGCAGCUAGGGGGAAUGUGAACGAGUGGGACGAAAGCCGUGACUCAGACAA